UUGAGCACAGGAUGUAAUAAGUAGAUGAAAUUUCUAAGACGGAUUUUAAAUCAAAAGUACAAAAUCUGCAAUUAAAGGUGUUGUGAUUUUUGAGAAGCGAAAGAAGAUGAGAUCUCCUUGAAUGUAAAUCUUCAUAAAUUGGCAAAAGACUUAGUUACAGAGUAUAUAGAGAGAACACUGAUUUGACUAAACAAAAGCAAUCAUUUUGCCUAAUUAUUAAAGGAGAAGAAGUUGGUUGAUUGUUCAUGCUACAAUUUUCUUAGCAAUUCCGGUUUCUUAUUUAUUUCAGUUUAAUUGCCUCUUGCUUCAGCAAAUCCUUUAAUUAGUUCAAUCAAAUAAUGUGCUGAUUCACUUCACUUUGUCCUGGUCAAACUUGAUUUCUAAUAAAAGCCAUUUAUACAUUCUACAUCUAUGCAUUGAAUUAGUGACAGUUCUUGGGAAAUUUAAUCUCUUGCAUGGCUUUGGACACCUUUCAAGUUAAUAUAUCAUAUGAUCGAUCUGUGUCGGACAAACAAUAUUCGGACCGAAGUUCUUUGACGAAGUCAGUCCUCUUUGACGAAGUCAGUCCUUAUCUCUAAUACAUUCACUGCUGGAUUGGUUGUUCUCUGGUCUCAAAAAAAAAAAAAGAGGAGAAAUACUUGCUGAUAAAGAGACGGGAACUACAGUGGAUUGGAAAUUGGGUUGACUUAUUCUUGUAAAGAAAUUCGGCUUAUUCGUAGCGCGAUUAACCAGUUCAUGACGCGCGUAAACGUCCACUGAAGCUUGUGUUUAUGGUACGUUAAUUUCCCUUUUAUUUGUUUAUUUGUUUAUAUCACUCUUAAGUUUUAUUAGAAGUUCUAUCUAUCUCAUUCCCCUUGUCAAAACCAUAUCUCUACUUUUUGAAAGGAAAAGCUUAACAAAAAGUCUAGCAUUUUUCGCUCCUAUCGUUAUUAUUCCAGUUUUCCGUAAGAUUCUGCUACAGUAAGAUGCCUACAUUUUUCGACCAUGUAGCGGUAAGUGAAAUCAAUGAAGUUAUGUUUUUACAAAGUACAUGUGAUUGUUAUGUGCUAAUCUGCUCGCUGAUUUGACAGCAGUUGAUUACGGGGCGCGUAAGAUCCAAACUGCAAGGAGAGUGUGUAACUUCCAAGAUAGUCCGGUUAGCAAAAUAAUGAUCGAAUUCAAUGAAUCUUUAUGUCAGUAUCAUGAAGGCGUGUUGAAAUGUUCGGAUUUUGGUUCAAGUUUGGCUCCAGAAACACUGUGUGGGGGAGGCUUUUGAACUACCUCGUGUCUCACGUGUGAAAGCGUGAGAUCUCUCAUUUUUGCCGCAAAUGUUGACUAUGGUACUUUAGGAGAGGAUAGGGUGGGGAUGAUGGAGUGUGAUUUGUGGGCCACAACAACUAACAAGUUUAACACUAAUUUGAGCAUGUGGCGGCCGGGCCCUACCAUCAUCACUGCCGUCGUUGCGAGGGUUGUCCCCAGCAUAAGACCGUCUUAUCUGCCGAUCAGCACAUGAUCGGCACGAGAUUGGGAACGACGUUAGCGGUAAAAGAAAUAGUCUUAUGUCAGUAAUCGUCCUCAGAAGCUUCCUCUUCUUUGUAUAUAUAUGAUGUUGCAUCCACCGCCGCACGCGUUCCGACUGUUAGCUUGAUAGAGUUGAGUUCCCACUCAUAGAUCUAUUAAUUAAUAGGCCUCCAAUGUAAGACUGUUUUAUCUGCAGAUCAGUAUAAGAUUGGCAUGAAAUUGGAAACAAUGUUAACGGCAAAUGAAAGUCUUAUGUCA